rnacentral:rRNA from 1 species
UACGGGGGGGGCAAGCGUUGUUCGGAAUUACUGGGCGUAAAGGGCGCGUAGGCGGUUUGCUAAGUUGAAUGUGAAAACUCUGGGCUUAACCCAGAGCCUGCAUUCAAUACUGGCAGGCUGGAGUUCUGGAGGGGAUAGCGGAAUUCCUGGUGUAGCGGUGAAAUGCGUAGAUAUCAGGAGGAACACCGGUGGCGAAGGCGGCUAUCUGGACAGAAACUGACGCUGAGGCGCGAAAGCUAGGGGAGCAAACGGG